rnacentral:rRNA from 1 species
AUUGAACGCUGGCGGCAGGCCUAACACAUGCAAGUCGAGCGGAUCGGCGGCCGGGUGCGUAAUGCCUAGGUAUCUGCCUGGUAGUGGGGGAUAACGUCCGGAAACGGGCACUAAUACCGCAUACUAUCAGAUGAGCCUAUGUCGGAUUAGCUAGUUGGUGGGGUAAAGGUCUACCAAGGCGAAGAGCCGUAACUGGUCUGAGAGGAUGAUCAGUAACACUGGAAAUGAGACACGGUCCAGACUCCUACGGGAGGCAGCAGUGGGGAAUAUUGGACAAUGGGCGAAAGCCUGAUCCAGCCAUGCCGCGUGUGUGAAGAAGGUCUUCGGAUUGUAAAGCACUUUAAGUUGGGAGGCGUUACCAUCAGAAGAAGCACCGGCUAACUUCGUGCCAGCAGCCGCGGUAAUAC